AAUUGCGCGGCGAAAAAACCUUACACACAGUGUUUUUUGUUAUUACAAGAACUUUUGCUUUGGUCUGGACUAGAAAUAGUUUGGGCCAGAGGUUUACUGAACUAAACUUCAAUAUUUAUAUUGAAUUGUUAUUUAUUUAAUUGUCAAUUUGUUGAUUAAAUUCAAAAAAUCUUCAAAACUUUCAACAACGGAUCUCUUGGUUCUCGCAUCGAUGAAGAACGCAGCGAAAUGCGAUAAGUAAUAUGAAUUGCAGAUUUUCGUGAAUCAUCGAAUCUUUGAACGCACAUUGCGCCCUCUGGUAUUCCAGAGGGCAUGCCUGUUUGAGCGUCAUUUCUCUCUCAAACCUUCGGGUUUGGUAUUGAGUGAUACUCUUAGUCGAACUAGGCGUUUGCUUGAAAUGUAUUGGCAUGAGUGGUACUGGAUAGUGCUAUAUGACUUUCAAUGUAUUAGGUUUAUCCAACUCGUUGAAUAGUUUAAUGGUAUAUUUCUCGGUAUUCUAGGCUCGGCCUUACAAUAUAACAAACAAGUUUGACCUCAAAUCAGGUAGGAUUACCCGCUGAACUUAAGCAUAUCAAUAGCCGGAGGA
rnacentral:rRNA from 1 species